CACCGGCAGCUCUAGUGGUAGCUGUUUUUAUUGGGCCUAAAGCGUUCGUAGCCGGUUUGAUAAGUCUUUGGUGAAAUCCUGUAGCUUAACUAUGGGAAUUGCUGAGGAUACUGUCAGGCUUGAGGUCGGGAGAGGUUAGCGGUACUCCCAGGGUAGGGGUGAAAUCCUGUAAUCCUGGGAGGACCACCUGUGGCGAAGGCGGCUAACUGGAACGAACCUGACGGUGAGGGACGAAAGCUAGGGGCGCGAACCGG
rnacentral:rRNA from 1 species